CUUCUUCUGAGGCGGUCCUACCGUCCUAGUUGUUUCUUGAAUCUUGAACUGCUUACCUGGCAAAAGAAACAAAAAGAUAUGUGAAGAAGAUGGGAAAACCAAGCAAGCAAGGUGGUGGAAUUGCAGUUGAUCACUAAGUGGCGGAGUUGUGUUGGUUCUUGGUGCGAGAGCAAGGGUUAGGUGGCAAAAGCGGUAGUGAAAUCGAUCCCCAUCUCUUGUCAGACACCGUCUUGUCGACGCAAAUAUUUUUCGCCGAUUGCUGGUGCUUAAGAUUCUUGAUCGAAACUAGGACUGGCGCUAAUCGGAGUUUCUUUCGUUUCAUGCGUGCUGACUGCAUCGGCAAGAUAAGAGACUGCAGGGAAGGUGUUUGUGGAAUUGCCUCCUUGGGGGCGGCUGAGGAGAGGGAACAAGUAUGACGAUGCCGUGGGGGGUCGCGGUCUGCAUCGUGGACAUGGUGUGGGCGGUGCUCGCCGGCUGGGUGUCCACCUGCCUGGUGGUAGCCAACGAGCUCGCCCGCGCCAUGCGCAACGGCGAGAUUGGUCCAUUUGUCGUCGGCUGAGUUAAUUCGACAUAGUUUGUUCAUUCGUUCCUUCAGGUAGUUCUUUUUUCAGUCCAUUACGUUCAAUACACGGCAUUAUACUGUACAGAGACCAUAGAUUGCAUGGCUUUAGUCUUCAGAAUUAGAUGAUGGCUUUCUUUUGUUUUGGGAUUUUUGAGUUGUGGUAAUGUUGUCGAGCCUUCGCACAAACAUUCUCUCUUUCAGUGGUAUGGAUCAAGAAUUAGUCCUGUAAAGCAAUUCUGAAUCGAAAUUUCAUAUUUAAUGUUCUGUAUACCACCCCAGGCUUUCAAUGA